rnacentral:rRNA from 1 species
AACGCCCGCGGUAUCCUGACCGUGCAAAGGUAGCAUAAUCACUUGCCUAUUAAUUGUAGGCUAGAAUGAAAGGACAAACGAGAAUACACCUGUCUCCUUUAAGCCCUUAAAAAUUUAUCUUUAAGUGAAGAAGCUUAAAUUCAUAUGCAGGACAAGAAGACCCUAUAGAGCUUUACCUAAAAUCUACAUAGAUAGAGGCUAGCGGUUCGGUUGGGGCGACCGGGGGACAUUCAUCACCCCCAAACUAAAAGAUAUACCUAUCUCACCAAAGAUCCUUACUCAAGAUCAAAGAAUCAAGCUACCUUAGGGAUAACAGGCUAAUCCUCUUAGAGAGCCCUUAUCGACAAGAGGGGUUGGCACCUCGAUGUUGGCUUA